AGUCAAGCGAGCGAAGGCAUGUGGGGGAUGCCUGGGUACACGGAGGCGACGAAGGCCGUGGUAAGCUGCGAUAAGCCAGGGGGAGCGGCACACACGCAUUGAGCCCUGGAUGGCCGAAUGGGGAAACCCGGCUGGGCGCGAGUCCAGUCACACUCCCGCAAGGGAGUGAGCGAACCCGGGGAACUGAAACAUCUCAGUACCCGGAGGAAGAGAAAUCAACCGAGAUGGCCCAAGUAGCGGCGAGCGAACGGGCCCCAGCCCAAACCGAUCUCCUUGUGGGAUCGGGGUUGUAGGACCCACAGACGCCGGAGUAAGAGGUCAGCCGAAGUCCCCUGGAAUGGGGCGCCAGAGACGGUGAGAGCCCGGUACGCGAAGAUUUCUGCGCCGGUAGUGGAGUUCCUGAGUAACGCCCGACUCGAGUAAUCGGGCGUGAAUCUGGGGGGACCACCCUCCAAGGCUAAAGACUCCCGUGUAACCGAUAGUGGACGAGUACCGUGAGGGACAGGUGAAAAGCACCCCAGUGCGGGGAGUGAAAGAGAUCCUGAAACCACAUGCCUACAAGCGGUAGGAGGGUGGUCAGGGCCUUCGGGUUCUGACGCGCCUGACUGCGUGCCUUUUGCAUUAUGAUCCGGCGAGUUACUCCUCAGGAGCGAGGCUAAGCUGGUAUCCAGCGGAGCCAGAGCGAAAGCGAGUCCUGUAACGAGGGCGACCAAUGAGUUCCUGGGGGUAGACCCGAAGCCAGGGCGAUCUACCCAUGAGCAGGGUGAAGCUUCGGUAACACGAAGUGGAGGCCCGCACCGGUGUGGGUUGAAAACCGCUCGGAUGACUUGUGGGUAGGGGUGAAAGGCCAAUCAAGCCUGGAGAUAGCUGGUUCUCCCCGAAAUCUAUUGAGGUAGAGCCUCGGGAAUAUGUCAGCAGGAGGUAGAGCGACUGGAUGGGCGCGGGUGGCGACAAGCCAUACCAACCCCAACCAAACUCCGAAUGCCUGACUGAUGAAGCCCGGGAGGCAGUCGCUGAGCGAUAAUGUCCAGCGGCGAGAGGGAAAGAACCCAGAGCCACCGCUAAGGCCCCAAAGUGGCCGCUCAGUAUAGCGAAGGAUGUGUUCGUGCUGUGACAACUGGGAGGUUGGCUUAGAAGCAGCCAUUCCUUUAAAGAGUGCGUAAUAGCUCACCAGUCCAGCGUGAAUGCGCCGAGAAUGGUCGGGAUUAAGCGGCCCGCCGAAGCGUGGCCUUGACCGCAAGGUCAGGGGUAGGGGAGCGUUCCCAUAACAGUGAAGGGCCCGUGGAAACGUUGGCCUGGAGUGGUGGGAAGUGAGGAUGCCGGAAUGAGUACGCGCAAAUCGGGGUGAAAACCCCCGACACCGUAAGCCCAAGGAUUCCUGCGCCAUGGCAAUCAGCGCAGGGUGAGGCGGACCCUAAGGCGAGGCCCCAGAGGCGUAGCCGAUGGACAGCCGGCGAAUAUUCCGGCCCCGUCCGCGAGACGUUUGACCAGCUGAGGGACACUGGAACAAAGCAGCGGCGGCCAUGUGGACGGCCGUCCAACCGCGUAGGGCGCAAGCCCGAGACGGGAUGGCGAGGGAAGGCUUUCGGGCCGACCCGAGCGUUGUGGAGUCGACAGGCAAGAAAAGCUCAGUCUGGGAGUCGCGCGCGACGUCCGUACCGUAAACCGACACAGGUGGGCGAGGCGAGUAGCCUCAGGUGAACGAGUGAAACGUGGUCAAGGAACUCGGCAUACUGAUCCCGUAACUUCGGAAGAAGGGAUGCCCCGUGGGGUAGCCAGGUUUACCCUGGUCGCUCGACGGGGUCGCAGUGAAUCGGCCCAAGCGACUGUUUAGCAAAAACACAGGUGUGUGCCAAGCCGCACAAGGCGCCGUAUACACACUGACGCCUGCCCGGUGCCGGAAGGUUAAGGGGAGAGGUCAGCCCGCAAGGGUGAAGCCUUGAGCCGAAGCCCCGGUAAACGGCGGCCGUAACUAUAACGGUCCUAAGGUAGCGAAAUUCCUUGUCGGGUAAGUUCCGACCUGCACGAAUGGCGUAACGACUUGGGCACUGUCUCGACCACGUGCUCGGCGAAAUUGCAGUCUCGGUGAGGAUUCCGAGUCCCCGCGACAGGACAAAAAGACCCCAUGCACCUUUACUGUAGCUUGUCAUUGGACGUUGCACUUCACUGUGUAGCAUAGGUGGGACCCUGCGAGCCCGGCGCGCUAGCGUCGGGGGAGGGGCCAGUGAAAUACCACCCUGUGUUGUGCGACGCCCUCACCCAGACGGGCAAACCCCGUCGGGGACCGUGGCAGGUGGGCAGUUUGACUGGGGCGGUCGCCUCCGAAAGAGUAACGGAGGCGCGCGCAUGGUGCCCUCAGUGCGGUCGGUAAUCGCACGGCGAGCGUAACGGCAGAAGGGCGCCUGACGGUGAGAGCGACAGCUCGAACCGGCACGAAAGUGGGCCGUAGUGAUCCGGUAGCCCGGUGUGGAUCGGCUAUCGCGCAACGGAUAAAAGGUACGCUGGGGAUAACAGGCUUAUCGCGCCCGAGAGUUCACAUCGACGGCGCGGUUUGGCACCUCGAUGUCGGCUUAUCACAUCCUGGGGCUGGAGAAGGUCCCAAGGGUCCGGCUGUUCGCCGGUUAAAGUGGUACAUGAGCUGGGUUCAGAACGUCGUGAGACAGUUCGGUCUGUAUCCGUCGUGGGCGUUGGAGUGUUGAGGGGCGCGGACCCUAGUACGAGAGGACCGGGUCGGACUGCCCGCUCGUGUCCCGGCUGUGCCGCCAGGUGCAACGCCGGGUAGCGAUGGCAGGCGGGGAUAACCGCUGAACGCAUCUAAGUGGGAAGCCCCCCCCGAGAUGAACACUCCCUUGCUCCUAGAGAGCACUAAAGGGCCGUGAGAGACCAUCACGUCGAUAGGCCGCCCGUGGACAUGGGGCAACCCAUUCCGAGCGCAGCGGUCCUAAUCGCCCGUGCGGCUUGACUAC
rnacentral:rRNA from 1 species